GAUGAACGCUAGCUACAGGCUUAACACAUGCAAGUCGAGGGGAAACGAUAUUGGAAGCUUGCUUCCGAUAGGCGUCGACCGGCGCACGGGUGAGUAACGCGUAUCCAACCUGCCCGUCACUUGGGAAUAACCUUGCGAAAGUAAGACUAAUGCCCAAUGACAUUUAUAGAAGGCAUCUGAAAUGAAUUAAAGAUUUAUCGGUGAUGGAUGGGGAUGCGUCUGAUUAGCUUGUUGGCGGGGUAACGGCCCACCAAGGCGACGAUCAGUAGGGGUUCUGAGAGGAAGGUCCCCCACAUUGGAACUGAGACACGGUCCAAAACUCCUACGGGAGGCAGCAGUGAGGAAUAUUGGUCAAUGGGCGAGAGCCUGAACCAGCCAAGUAGCGUGCAGGAAGACGGCUCUAUGGGUUGUAAACUGCUUUUAUAGGGGAAUAAAGUGAGCCACGUGUGGUUUUUUGCAUGUACCCUAUGAAUAAGGACCGGCUAAUUCCGUG
rnacentral:rRNA from 1 species